rnacentral:rRNA from 1 species
UUGAACGCUGGCGGCAUGCCUUACACAUGCAAGUCGAACGGUAACGGGCCUUCGGGUGCCGCCGAGUGGCGAACGGGUGAGUAAUACAUCGGAACGUGCCCGAUCGUGGGGGAUAACGAGGCGAAAGCUUUGCUAAUACCGCAUACGAUCUACGGAUGAAAGCAGGGGACCGCAAGGCCUUGCGCGGACGGAGCGGCCGGUGGCAGAUUAGGUAGUUGGUGGGAUAAAAGCUUACCAAGCCGACGAUCUGUAGCUGGUCUGAGAGGAUGAUCAGCCACACUGGGACUGAGACACGGCCCAGACUCCUACGGGAGGCAGCAGUGGGGAAUUUUGGACAAUGGGCGCAAGCCUGAUCCAGCCAUGCCGCGUGCAGGAUGAAGGCCUUCGGGUUGUAAACUGCUUUUGUACGGAACGAAAAGCCUUCUUUUAAUACAGGAGGGUCAUGACGGUACCGUAAGAAUAAGCACCGGCUAACUACGUG